AGAUUGGAUGACUGGCAGGGACAUUUUACCUCAUUGAUCAUCUGGGUUAAUUCAGUUGAUAAGGUAGGCUAGGAAGGUGUCUGCUUCCUCCCUCUCAAUUCCAUGUGUAUCUCUCCUGAAGAUGCAUGUUAGAUCAAACAAAACAACAUUUUCUAAUAGGGAAAGGGCUUUUCUUUGGUUGUGGGUAUGGGAGUAGCUGUGUUCCCCCAUGACAACAUCCAAACAGGCUUUCAUCAUGUACCUUUUGUACUGGAUCACAAUGUAGAUG
rnacentral:snRNA from 1 species